CGAGCGCUGGCGGCAUGCCUACCACAUGCAAGUCGCACGAGACCUUCGGGUCUAGUGGCGCACGGGUGCGUAACGCGUGGGAACCUGCCCUUAGGUUCGGAAUAACUCCCCGAAAGGGGUGCUAAUACCGGAUAAUGUCUUCGGACCAAAGAUUUAUCGCCUUUGGAUGGGCCCGCGUUGGAUUAGCUAGUUGGUAGGGUAAAAGCCUACCAAGGCGACGAUCCAUAGCUGGUCUGAGAGGAUGAUCAGCCACACUGGGACUGAGACACGGCCCAGACUCCUACGGGAGGCAGCAGUGGGGAAUAUUGGACAAUGGGCGAAAGCCUGAUCCAGCAAUGCCGCGUGAGUGAUGAAGGCCUUAGGGUUGUAAAGCUCUUUUACCCGGGAUGAUAAUGACAGUACCGGGAGAAUAAGCUCCGGCUAACUCCGUG
rnacentral:rRNA from 1 species